AGUGGAGGCCUCUUAAAGAAACAGGACGCCAUUCCCCUGCGGGCUACAGGGUCUGAAGGAAGGCUGGAACACACUUUUUUCUCCUGCCUUUGGACAUCGGAACUCCAGGCUCUCCAGGCUUUCCAGACUCUGGACUUAACAGCAGUCUCUGGACUUACAACAGCAGCCCCCUGGAUCCUCAAGCCUUUGGCCUCAGACUAAUAAUUAUAUCAGCAACUUCCUGGUUCUGAGGCUUUUGGGCAGCCAUGCUACUAGCAACCCAGCAGUUCCAGCAGAAGGCCUGUUGUGGGACUUCUCAGCCUCCAUGAGCAUGCCCAGUUAGAAAAGAACUCUAAAAGGGUAAGCUUGCUUAAAAGAACUCCAGAUGGCCCGGGAGCUGCAGGACCCUUUGCCAAUUAUCAGAGGAAGAUAAGGCCUGUGUGAAACCGGGACAAACCUGAACCAGCGACCCCGUGUUACCUUUAGAUCAUUAACAUAUCAUCAUAAUGCUAAAACCUCACCCAUAGAAGAUAAUUGCUGCCAUUUUCUGAAUAUACAUUAUAUGAAGAAGCAUGUUCAUGAUCUGCACCUGCACAUCUGGAGUUCCUCCCCAUACAUGUUUACGUACCUCCCUGCCCCACAUCUAACUCCUUAAAAUCCCCCAGCUUCUCAUAUCUCAGGGAGAAGGAGUCUUUAGAGAAAGAGCUCCCUCCUCCAUUCCUGGCCAGGAAUAAAACCUGCUUGCCUUUUUUCCCAAUUAGGUGUUACAGUAGAACUCAGUUACCCUGUAACAAUAAGAAUUGCAUUAAAUCCUUAUAUCAACUUGGGAAGAAUUGACAGCUUUACCAUAUUAAGUCUUCUAAUCCAUAAAUAAGUAUGUUCAUCCAUUUUUUUAGAUUUUUGAAAUUUCUUUCAUCAGCAUUUUGUAGUUCUUUGCCUCACUAUCUAGAUCCCAAAUAUUUUCUGUUUUUUUUUUCUGAAAGUUUUAUCUCUUACAAUUUAAACCUGAGUAGUUCUCAGCAUGCAAGCCCCAUACAUGUUUUGUUGGAUUUAAAUUUAAGUACUUUGGUUUUUGAUAAAUUGUAAGUGCUACUGUAUUUUAAGUUUCAGUGCCCAUGUGUUCCUUGCUGGUAUAAAGAAAUACAACAUAUUCCUGCAGUCUAGCUGAAGUCACUUAUCAGCUCUAGGAGUUUCUGUUUUUUGUUUUAUUUUUGGUAGAUCUUUGAGAUUUCCUACUUUGAUAAGCAUGUUAUCCACGAAUAGGGACAGUUUUAUUACUACCUUUCUGAUCUGUAUGCCUUUUAUUUCCUUUUCUUACCUUAUUGCAUUGGGUAGAACUUCUAACACUGUUUAACAAUAAUGGUAAGAGCAGUCAUCCUUGCCCUUUUCCUCUUCUCAGGGGUACAACCAUUCAGUCUUUCACUGUUAAGUAUGAUGCUGGCUGUGGAGUUGUUAUAGAUGCUCUUUAACAAGUUAGGACAAAUUCCCUCUAUUUCUCUUUUUCUGAGCAUUUUUAAAACCAUGAAUGGGUAUUUUGUGAAAUGCUUUUUCUGUAUUGAUUGGUAAGAUCAAUUUUCUUUUGUAUCCAGUUAGUAUGUUGGAUUAUGUUGACUGAUUUGUGAAUAGUAAAACUGCCCUGCAUUCCUGCAGUAAGCUUCGCUGUGUUACAAGAUCUUUGGGGUGUUGCUUUUCUGGCCAGAAACCUCUGUGGCCAGUGGUGCCUUUGCCCAAGUUUUGUUUGGGCUCACUGGGCUCAUUCCGCCCACUCGGCCUGGCAGGCUGUGCUCAGCUCAUGCUACCAGCCUGGACCCCAUGUCUGCCAAAGGCAAGUCAGGCAUGGAGUGGCAAGGGGUGUGUGAGUGAGCGUGGGGUCUGGCCACUGUGCAGUCAGACAUGUCAGCUGCUGCAGUGGGGUGGGCAGCUCCAGGUGCUGGCACAGGCACUAGUCCUCUGUGAGGCUGUGGCUGAGCCAGGCACACUGCACGCAGCUUCCACAGCUGGUACUGGGGAACAAAGUGGUGCCUGGAGGCUUGGAGAUGCCAGGAACCACAGGGCUCCCAAGAAAGAGUCAUAGCCCUGGCUUGGGGAGCUCCCAGGUCUGGGCUUCCCGAAGGGCCAUAGCUAUUCUUUCUUUCUCUUCACCCUCAAUGUAGUGAGCAAGGGGCAUGUUUCAACCCUGUUUGUGUUACAGCUCUUUUAGCCCUACCAUUCAAUGGGUCCCAAGUUCUUGUCCUAUAACCAGGAAGAAUGAGGUACCCAGACAAGUGGAGGGUGAGCAAGAUGAAAAGGAGCUUUACUGAGCGACAGAACAGUUUGGAGGAAACCCGCAGUGGGUAGCUCCUUUCCACAGCCAGGGUGUCCUGAUGAGUGUUCAGCUCCUAGCAAAGAGGAGGCCCUGGAGUGGGAAGCUCCUCUUUGCAUGCAGGUGGUCACAUUGUCUCUGCAGCUCUCAGCAGAGAGGAGGCCCUGGAGUGGGUAGCUCCUCUCUGCUGUUGGUCAUCCUAAUGUCUGCUCAGCUCUGGUUGAGCGCAGGGGUAUUAUGGGCUUCAGAGGGGGGAAAGUGUAUGCCAACUGGUCCAUGGGCAGGCCCAGAAAAGGCACCACAAGCUCCCACUCUGGUCUGUGGGGCUGGCAGCCCGACGCCAGCCUUCAGGCCCUCCCUGGCCUGAAGGUGGGGCCUCACUGGGGACCUGCCCCCUUCUGCCCAGGAGCCCAUCUGCCUCCUGCCACUGCACAUGGCACCCAGGCUGCUCACAGCAAGGGGCACCUACAGGCCAGGGCAAGCCGCCCUCAACUUCGUCAUUGUGUAUACUUUUUUUUACAUUGUUGAAUUCUACUUGCUAAUUUAAAAAAAUGUUGCAUCUAUAUUCAUGAUAUUAGUCUUUUGUUUUUUGUACUAUCUUUUUUUUUUGGUUUGAGUAUCAGAUUUAGUACUAGCUUCAUAAAAUAAAUGGGAAAGUCUACUCUCAUCUUCAAUUUUCUGGAAGAGAUUUUGUAGAAUUAGUGUUAAUUCUUUUUUAAACUUUUGGUAGAAUUGUCCAGUGAACUCUCCUGGUCUAGGAGCUGUUUUUAAAUUUUAGUUUUAAAAUUACAAAUUCAACUUUUAAAAUUCCAUUUCAUACUGGGUGAGUUGUAGUUUUUGAGGAAUUGGCCUGUUUAAUUUAAGCUGUCAAAUUUAUGUGGGUAGAGUUGUUUGUAGUAUUCCCCUACUAUCCUUCUGAUGUACACAGAGCCUGUAGUGAUAUCCCAUUUCAUCCUUGAUGUUUCAUUCCGUUUCACCCUCUUUCUUUUCUCUCCUUAUUACUGGUUGUGGGAAUGGGAAUUCCAGCUUCUCCCUAGGCCUCUACUAAGACCUCCCUGACUUGGGGGACAGUUGGGUGGGGCGGCUCAUGACUGCUCCCCAAGGGGCCUCCACUGACACAAGGGGUGGUGGCCUCAUUACCACUAGUUGGUGGUGAAAGUCCUGAUCCCCCUCUGGGUUUUCUGGUACACUGCCCCAGCAGAGCAGAGAGGGGCACCUCAUGACUGCUGGAUGGGAGUGGAAGUCCAGACUCCCCCACUGUCUUCACUGAUAUUGCAGGGAGCCCAUGGGGAGAGUUGGGGUGCCUCUUUACAGCCUGGUGUGGGUGGAAUUCUAGGAUCUCCACCUCUGCCUUUGCUUGUGUGAGUGUGGGUAGGGCCACAGUCUUUCUGUGGUGUUCGGCUGGAGUAGAGAGGUUAUUGUCUCAAGGUUUUCUGUCUCGUAAGGCUGCCCAUUUUCUGCUUUCUGUUUUGUUUUUGCUUUGUAUAGAGGGAGUAGGCUUUUGAUGGGGCUUUUCCCCCCAUCUCAAACACUAGAAUUUCCAGGUCGCGAGCUUCUUCAGUUCUAAGUCUGGGAUAUAUGAGGCAAAAUGAAAGCCAGGAGAAUGCACUAUGCGGUCCCAAGUUUCCUAGCUGGUCUGCCUUCUUUUCUCAACUUUUCAGAAUAUUUUUAUACUUGCUUUACAUACAAACUAAAUCUACUGAAAAAAUACAAUAAUCAAAAUAAAUGGAUGGGCUCAAUAGCCAAUAGAGGAGACAGAGGAAAAAAAAAUCACUGCACUGACAACUAUAACUAGAGAAAUCACCCAGACUGAAAAACAGAGAGAAAAUAAAUGGAAAAAAAUGAAUGGAGCUUCAGGGACCUGUGAGACUAUCACAGGGUCCAGUGUUUGUGUCAUCGAACUUGCAGAAGGAGAAGAGAAAGAAGACAAGGCUGAAAAGGUAUUCAAAGAAAUAAUGGCUGAAAGUUUCCCAAAUGUUCAGAGUUUUUAGUUGUCCUUACUGGGAGGAAUAGGGAGAAGCGUGUCUGCUCUAUCUUCCUGAAAGCUAAAGAACCAAGCACUGCUGGAUGGGGACCCAGGGUCUCCAAGCUGAGAAGAACACUGAUAAGGCAUGCACGGAAGCAGUCCUGGGAGGACUCUGCCACAGGCACAAACACCACUGGACACCCAAAGUCAUACUGCUGGGCGCUGGAGUCCAUUGCUUCUUCUGAGAAGAAUCGCUAACUUUUCUCGGGUCUUUGUACCUUUAGCCCCUGAUUCAAAGUCUUAGGGAGGCUCACCUAAGUGGCCAGUCGCAGGGAGUGUGCCCAGCCCUGCCUGUCAGCAGGUGUGGAAAGGAAAUGUACAGCAUUCUGCAGCAUCCCUGGUGGAAGCUGGAGCCUGUCUUCCAUUAAGCCGUACUCACUGUGGGAUUCCUCAAUUUGUCCAAUUAGGAGGUCAGUGCAUGAGGUUGCUGUACCCUCAUACCCCCGCAACACUCAGUUUUACUGAACUUCCUAAUAUUUGCCAAUAUAAUAGGUGUAAAAUUAUAUCUCAUUCUUGCAUCAAUUUGCAUUUCUGGGAUUAUUAACAUUUGUGAGCACCUCUCAUAUGAGUGUUAGCUUUUGAGAGUUCUCAUUCUGUAAAUUGCCUGUUUAUAUCCUAGAUAUAUUUAUGUUUACUGUGCUUCUGAAUGGGAGCUUAUUUUCCUGAGUCUUACAGACAUUUGAGACAGUUACAUUAUAAAAGUAUAUUGCUGAGUGAAGGGAUAAUCAUAAGACAUAGUUCUUUAAUAAUUCCAGAUUUGAAAAACAACCAUAUUAAAUGUUAUUAUUUGUGGGAGGUGAGAUUAUCUGACAUUUGUUUCUUUUUCUUCUCUUCUUUCUUCCUCUUCCUCUUCCUCUUCUUCUUCUUCUUCUUUUCUUUUUUUUUUUUUUUUUUUUGACAGAGUCUCGCUCUGUCACCAGGCUGGAGUGCAGUGUUGUUUCUUCUUUUGAAUGGAUACAUUCAACUUUACCUGAGCUCUUUGCUCCAGGAAAAUAGGAAUGGAUAAGAAAUGCUCCACUCUUGUGUGUUUCAGGAAAUGGUUAAUUGCAAAAAACACGCCUUCCCUAUAUGGCUUAGACCGCCCUUCCCUUAAUGACUCCCUUGUGUUAUAAAACCCCAAGUCUUUUUUAAACAUGUUUCUAAUUAAUGAACAUUCUCUCUAUUGCAGUAGCCUACAUACAACCAUCUCCUUAAUUGUCAGGUGCAUAUGUCCUACACACAUUUUAUUUUUUUAAAUAUAAUUUUCAUACAUAAUGAUUGCAGUUUCUAUAAACUUUUGAAAAGUACUGGUCAAGUAUUUUGUAGAAUAUCCCUCAAUUUGGGUCUGUCUGAUGUUUUCUCAUGAUUAGGCUAGAGUUAUGCAUUUUGGGAAAGAAUGUCAUGGAGGUGAUGUAUCCUUCUAAUCACUUCAUAUCAGGGAGCAUAUGAUAUCCACAUGACUUGUCACUGGUGUCAUUAACCUUAUCACUUGGUUCUGGUAGUGUCUGCCAGGUCUCUUCACUAUGAAGGUACUAUUUUCCUCUUUCCAUACUCUAUUCACCAAAUAUAAGUCACCAAGUGCAGCCCAUACUCAAGGGGAGGGAAUAAAGCUCCUCUUCCUUGUAUCAGAAUGUGUAAAGAUCUCUUAGGCUUUAAAAUCUAUAUAUUAUUCAGUUGCUUCUCCUGUUCCGCUUUUUAUUUGUUAGGGAACCAGAUCCUUUGUCCUACUUCCCCACACCUAGGCUUGCUGAUUGCAUCUCUGAGAAGUCAUGCAACAUGUUCCUUUGUUCCUGCCAUUUCAUGUACAUUGGUACCAGAGGCUUGAUUAGCUUUAUUUAUUUAUUCAUGAUGGAGUCUCGCUCUGUCGCCCAGGCUGGAGUUGCAGUGGUAUGACCUUGGCUCACUGCAACCUCUGCCUCCCAGAUUCAAGUGAUCCUCCAGCCUCAGCCUCCUGAGUAGCUGGGAUUACAGGCAUGUGCCACCACACCCGGCUAAUUUUUGUAUUUUUGGUAGAGAUGGGGUUUUGCCAUGUUGGCCAGGCUGGUCUCGAACUCCUGACCUCAGGUGAUCUGCCCACCUGUCUCCCAAAAUGCUGGGAUUACAGGUGUGAACCACCACACCUGGCCUUGAUCAGAUUUAGAUGCAAGUUUUGAACAUGAAUAUAUGGUGGUACAUUCUUUCAUCAGAAGGUAGGUAAUUAUUGUUGCUUCCCCCAUGUUUUUUGAGACAAUUGUUUCUGAGACAUCUGUAGCCAAGGCUGGAGUACAGUGGCCUUGGCUUACAGCAGCCUUGACUUCCUGGGUUCAGGUGGUUCUCUCACCUCAGCUUCUCAAGCAGCUGAGACCACAGGUGUGCACCACCACGCCCAGCUAAUUUUUUUGUAUUUUUAGUAGAGACAGUAUUUCGCCAUGUUGCCCGGGCUUGUCUUGAACUCCCGGCCUCAAGUGAUUUGCCUGCCUUGGCCUCCCAAAGUGCUAGGAUUACAGGUGUGAGCCACUGUGCCUGGCCUCCCGCUUUUUUUUUUUAACGUUAGCAGCUGUUGAUGAUCAUUGCCCAGCUCCACUAAUGCAUUAGGGAUUACACAAUGGUAAUAUACUUAUUUUAACAUGAUUUCUUCAUUUGCUGGUUGUAAUACUUCUGGCAAGAGAAACAUUCCCCUCACAAUUAUUUGGUUACUCUGAGGAACGGUUCAUACAGGAAAGGCAGUAUUCAUGAUUCUUUCCCUUUAUUUUCCGGUUUUCAAAGCAUCCUCCAAAGGUGACCAAUGCUUUCCUUUUGAAUGAUUGUUUUUGUUGUUUUUUUGCAUUCCCAAAAGAAAUGCUACUGAUUAUGGUUAUUAUUCUUUCAGUACCUUGUUGGAUUCUAUUUCCUAGAGUUUUAUUUAAGUGUCUCAUGUAUAUUAAUAGAUGAAAUUGAUUUAUAUCUUGGGGUGACUUCCAGAUUUUACACACACACACACACACACACACACACACACACACACAGAUUGUGUUCAAACUAUUUCUUAUUAUAAUCUCUGUGGGUACUGAAAGAAUCAUGCAUUUAUGGGGAUGAAAAAAAUUACCUUUGAGAGCAAGCAUUCAGUGUACCCAAUAAAGCAGAAACUCUUGCAUAAUCACAAAUAAAGGUGCCACAGAAAUUUAUGGGAAAUGCGGUCUUGCAUUGCCCAGAGGAAGUCACCAGGGACAGAUGUUUAGUAGCUCCUCCUGCACACAUACAGUUCCAUUUUAGGGAAAGAGGUUGCUCUUGCUCUGUCUACAGCCUUAUGGGGGAGACUCCACAUCUUUGUCCAUCCAAAGUAUUGGUCCUAGGAACCAAACUGAAAGUGCCUUGAAAAGGACAUUUGCAUAGAGAUUGGGGGUGGAAGGGGGAGAAUGUCAGGUGGAAUUGACUUGUGCUCCUGUAAGGUAGAAACAACACACUGAGGAAUCGUAUUAAGUGCUCCCAGACUGUCCUAGACUUGGUCUCAAGGGAAUGGCAGGCAAGAGAAGGCCUUGGUUUCCUAUCUGCUGGGUCCAGGGCUGGAGAGUGGGCAUUUGCUUCCUUCUCUGGAACAGGGUGCUGGAUGGGAGGCCAGGAAUGUGCAUCAAAGUGCACAAGAGAUGAUUCUAGAAACUCUGCUCUUGCCAAGUAUAGCCUGGCCAGCAUGCAGCCUGGUACUCUAAGAGGUAAGUUCCUUGAGAGCAACUAGGAAGAGCAUUAAUAUUUUGUGCUGAUUUGGAAGAGGCAAGGAGAGUGCAAACUGAUGUAACGAAGGUCAGAAAUGUAGAUGCCAGAGACCUGUGUGCAAGUCAGGGUCUCUAUGGGAUCUGGGCUUCUCUAUAACUCCAGUAAUUUUUUUUGAGAUGGAGUCUCGCUCUGUUGCCCAGGCUGGAGUGCAAUGGCAUGACAUCGGCUCACUGCAACCUCCACCUCCCAGGUUCAAGUGAUUCUCCUGUCUCAGCCUCCUGAGUAGCUGGGAUUACAGGCAUGCGCCAUCAUGCCUGGCUAAUUUUUGUAUUUUUAGUAGAGACGGGGUUUCACCAUGUUGGCCAGGCUGGUCUCGAACUCCUGACCUAGGUGAUCCGCCCGCUUCAGUCUCCCAAAGUGCUGGGAUUACAAGAGUGAGCCACCGCGCCUGGCCUAACUCCAGUAAUUUUAAGGAAUAUCUAUCAGCCUUGUUUUCCUCAUCUUUAAGAUGAGCAUGGAAAGAGAACUUAUCUUGUAGGCCUGUUUUGGAGAUUAAAUGUGAUAUGGCAUGCAUACCUUUGCUUGCACAUAACAAGAUCCUAAUAAAAGCCAUUGCUUCUAUUAUGCAAGAUACUUUGCUAGGUUCUUUUAAUUAAGUGUACCAAUGAACAUGUUUAUUGUGAGGUUAGUACUGAUAUCUUAUUAUUUUAUGUCAUCUUUAUUUUAAUAAGAAAAUGGAUGCUCAGAGAAGUGAAGCCAGUCAUCCAACAUUAACAGGUAGGUGGCGGAAGUGCUGGGGUUUUAAAUCCCAGAACUGCUUUCCAUCCCGUGUUGUGCUUCGCCAAUACGCCAUAUUGCCAAAAACCCAGACUUGGAUGUUAACUGUCUUUGAAUUCUUCACAGCACUCAGCCCCAUGAAAUGAUCUUAAUGACUCCACAAGAAAUAAAUGCUGAAGAAAAAUGGACUCCAGCCUCCUAGGCCCAGGAUUUCUUGAUGUUUCUUUGGUGUUUGGGAGGACACUGUAUUUCUGCAGCUUCAGGAUGGCUUAUGUACUCUCUGGCCUGUAUUUGUUCCUAGCACCCCUGGUUUGAGUUUACCAGAAGCCAGUGUGAGAUUCAGGGGCCAAUGUGUACUAUCAGCGACAAAUAUUGGUUAUCAGGUGAGAGGUCCUGUCUAAAGUGAAGCUGUGCUUGGAGCUCAGAUACUGACUCCAUGUGAAUGCAAUGGAUCUUGUGUGUUAGGAGGACAAGACUCCUGGAAUAGAAAUUCAGUGAGACCUCACACCAGAGCUCUAGGCAGGGGUGGAAAAGCCCCAGGCAAGGAGCUGGGCUAUAAACAAUUCUUGAUCCUUCUGUUCAGAGUGUGCAAAAUUUGCAUGGUGUUACCCCAUGCAGAGACAACUUGGGUUGUGUGCCAAUGGACGUUUCAGGGCACUUCUCAAAGGAGGGAGCUAAGCUGAGGGGCUUGGCAGGGGGCAGACUCCACAAUAAAAGGCUUAUUGGAUGUCUGUGAGGGUACACUCAAGACAGGAGAGAGUCAGCAGGCCCAGCUGAGAAAAUUCAAUCUCAACCUUCUCUAAAGACAUUCUCUGAAGACACAUGCUUUAUUUUCCACUCAUUCUUUCCUGAUCUGAGCUGGCCCUACACUCAUAUUAUAUCCAUCAUUGUCUUUGGCUUCUAAGGAUGUGCUGAUUGCCCUAUAGAUUGACAUACAAAGUUCAGAACGAUAAAAAUGGAAAGGCAUUAUAGUAUUAUCUAAAUAUGCCUCCUCAAUUUAAAGAUUAAUAAAACUGGGCUAGACUAGGUCACACAGUUGGUUAGAGGCAAUGUCAAGAUUAGAAGUUGCCCCAUUCUCAGUGUGCUGUUCAUCAUUCCAAAUAAAAUCAAAAUAAGAUAUCUUUAAAGGUUUCUCACUAGAAAUGAUGAUGAAGAGAGCACCAUCAAUAAAAGAGACAGACGUGCCUGAAAGCUCCUUCCCUGCCCUGCCCUUUCCAGUUUCCUGUGGAUUCUCAAGACCAUGAAAGGUUAGAAAUAUUAGCUGCAGAGAGAAAAGAAACAUAACAUGAACAUAUUUUCCUAUCAGUGGAUUUUCCCCUACAAGAUCAUUUUUGAAGAAGCUAAUGGUUAGGAGCACGGCCUCUGGGGCCAGACUUCCUAGACUCAAAUCCUGGCUCCAUGUCUUACUAGGUAUAUGACCUUGGGCAAAUUAACCUCUGUGCUUUGGUCUACCCAUCUGUAAAACAGGGAUAACAGUAUCUACUUCAUAGGUUGUUAUGAGGAUUAAAUAACCGUUUCGUCUUAUCUAUAUCCAUCUAUCUCUACAUAGAUAUAUAUAUGUAUAUAUAUCCUAGAAUAGUGCUUGGCAUGUAGUAAACUCUGCUAUAGCAGAGUUUUCUAUUAUCGACAAAUAGCAAGAUAUUCUGCCCUUUGGAUGUGUGAUAAUUUCUUUAGCCAAUCCCUUACUAUUGUAUAUUUGAUGGCCUUCAGCUUUUUGUUGUUAUUCAAAGGAGGAUAAAUUAUCACUAAAUCCAUCGGAAAUAAAUGUCUACACUCUCCAAAUAAUCCAUGUGAGAGUUACAAUGGACAGGUAGGUGCCAUUUCCUUCCUGUUUUUUUCUGGUAGCAAAGUAGGACAGGAAAUGUAGAGUCUAGUUGGGUGGCCAUAUGCCCUGCCAGAAUUCACUGGGGAGUUCUACUAUUAAAGGAAGAAGGGAACCAUGGCUACUGCAGGGCUAUCAGCAGACCCUGCCACAGCUUUUAACAUCCAUCCUAUCCCCUAGACUACAACUCUGUGGAAGUUUGGUUAAACAAGGUAAUCACAGGACUACCCUUAUGUUGUCACACUUUAGUGGAUAAAUGUUUAAAAAAACCUGGAUCUAUUUUUAUCAUCCCUUAAAUUUCAAACUCCCUUUGUCACCUGGUUUUAGGUACAUUUUUUUACAAGCCAUACAUAGUUGGAUUUAGUUUUCUAACUCACUGUUAAACUACCUCUGUCUUUGAUGUAGGAAUUCAAUUUGUUCAUAUUAUUUGUGAUAACAUUUAUUGAUUCUUUUUCAUUUUUACUUGUUUAAAGUCUAUUGUACUUUUCUUUUCCACUUUCCUUACUUUUUCUAUCUUGGUCAGUGUUCACUUUAUCAUUUAAAAAAAUUUAGGAGAAAUUCUACUAGGAAACAAAUGGAAAAAGACAAUCAAGAAAAUCAAGGGUAGGCCUAAAUGACUACUGGUAUGGAUACUUGUAAAAAGUCAUUAAAGAGACUUGAACUACAGAAAAACAGAUAAAUGUAAAAAAAACUUAGCUGCAAUUCUUACUACAAAACAUCACCUUUGUUAAUGUUCUAAUGCAUUAAGACUUUUCUGGAAAAUCAGAUAUUCUAUUAACAGAUAUUCAUAUGGAUAUAAAUAUGCAUAUACAUUAUAUAAAUAAAAAUAACCCAUUUAAGAACCAUGAAGGCUCUCUUUUCUCUCCCUGAAUGUAAGUCCCUCCUUCCUCCUAAAAUGUAACUGAUAUUGUAGAUUUUGUGUUAAUCAUUGAUUUGCUUUCUUUUCUAAAUUUACUACUUACAUAUGUAUCCCUGAACAAUGUAUUCUUGGUUUGCUUUUGAACUUUAUAUAAAUAACAUAACAGAGUAUCUAUAUUUUUCCCUUUUUUAAAUUCAACAUCACUUUAAGAUAUAACCAUGUUGAUGUGUUUAACAGAGUUUUAUUCAUUUUCAUUGAUGUAUAUUAUUUCUACCAUAUGACUAUGCCAACAUUUAUUAAUUUAGUUUAUUGGUAAUCAACAUUUGGAUAUUUUCUUUAAAUUUUUUUUUUACAAAAACUAUUGCAAUGUUGCAGUGAACAUUCUUGUACAAAUUUGUGGGUGCAGAUGUGCAAGAGUUUCUGUAAGGCAAUUUUUUUGUGUGGUGAAACUACUGGUAUUCUGGAUAAGACUAUUUCCUGUCCUUUCACUGAUACAUUGUAGGGAAAUUAGCAUCUCUGGCCUCCCAUCUACCCAGAGCCUGUAGCAUGUCAAUGAUGUGACAAUCAAAACAACAGAUUUCCAAACACACUUUAGGAAGUCCAGUUGAGAAUUAUUGUUUUAUGGUAUGUAUCUAGAAUUGGAAUUGAUGGACCACAGGUUAUGUGACCGUUCAAUUUUCACUUAUAAAAUAUAUUGUAUUGUUGUGUUCCCAUGUGUAAAUCCAACAUACACAUAAUUUAUGUUAUACAGCACACUCGUAUCCUAUGUAACUAUAUAUAGCCCAAUAUACUUCAGGAAAUCUUCACACAUAUUCAACGCUAUCGUGUCAAUGACUUAAAUAAUUCAUAGUUUUACAAAAGGAUCAUGUUUCACAUUCUAUUAAGAACAAGUCAUUUUCUAAUCUUUUCUUUAAUUACUCUGCUAUUACAU
rnacentral:lncRNA from 1 species